rnacentral:rRNA from 1 species
UAAGGGACGAAGGCUAGGGGCGCAAACCGGAUUAGAUACCCGGGUAGUCCUAGCUGUAAACGCUGCAGGCUUGGUGUUGGAGCUCCUUCGAGGGGUUUCAGUGCCGUAGCGAAGGUGUUAAGCCUGCUGCUUGGGGAGUACGGUCGCAAGACUGAAACUUAAAGGAAUUGGCGGGAGAGCACAGCAACGGGAGGAGCGUGCGGUUUAAUUGGAUUCAACGCCGGAAAACUCACCAGGAGCGACGGUUACAUGAAGGCCAGGCUGAUGACCUUGCCUGAUUUUCCGAGAGGUGGUGCAUGGCCGCCGUCAGUUCGUACCGUGAGGCGUUCUCUUAAGUGAGAUAACGAACGAGACCCUCGCCCCUAUUUGCCACCCGUCUCUUCGGAGAUGGAGCACUAUAGGGGGACCGCUGGCGCUAAGUCAGAGGAAGGAGAGGUCAACGGUAGGUCAGUAUGCCCCGAAUCUCCUGGGCUACACGCGCGCUACAAAGGACAGGACAAUGGGCUGCAACACCGAGAGGUGAAGCCAAUCCCGAAACCUGUUCGUAGUCCGGAUUGAGGGUUGUAACUCACCCUCAUGAAGCUGGAUUCCGUAGUAAUCGCGGAUCAACAUCCCGCGGUGAAUGUGCCCCUGCUCUUUGCACACACCGCCCGUCAAACCAUCCGAGUUGGGUCCGGAUGAGGGUGCCUCAUUUGGGGCGCUCGAAUCUGGGUUCAGCGAG